rnacentral:rRNA from 1 species
GACGAACGCUGGCGGCGUGCUUAACACAUGCAAGUCGAACGGAAAGGCCCUGCUUUUGUGGGGUGCUCGAGUGGCGAACGGGUGAGUAACACGUGAGUAACCUGCCCUUGACUUUGGGAUAACUUCAGGAAACUGGGGCUAAUAUCGGAUAGGAGCUCCUGCUGCAUGGUGGGGGUUGGAAAGUUUCGGCGGUUGGGGAUGGACUCGCGGCUUAUCAGCUUGUUGGUGGGGUAGUGGCUUACCAAGGCUUUGACGGGUAGCUGGCCUGAGAGGGUGACCGGGCACAUUGGGACUGAGAUACGGCCCAGUCUCCUACGGGAGGCAGCAGUCGGGAAUAUGGCACAGUGGGCGGGAGCCUGAUGCAGAGACGCCGGGUGCGGGAUGACGGCCUUCGGGUUGUAAACCGCUUUAGCCUGUGACGAAGCGUGAGUGACGGUAAUGGAUAAAGAAGCACCGGCUAACUACGUG